CUGAAUGUCGCCUGUCGAGGUUCCCCGUUCCAGACAUGGCGAUGGGGCUAAGACGGGAAGCCAGUGGUGUCCCUCCGGGGCAGAGUCUGGCGCUGCCCCCGCAACUGUAAGCGGCGAGCGGCGGAUCCAUCGUGUGUCACUGAGCCUCGCAAGAGGAUCGGGAAGGCCGGAACCGUCGCAGCGACCCGUGAGCCAGGAGACCUGCCUCCGACGCGAAACGUUC
rnacentral:ncRNA from 2 species